GGCCUGGUAGCGGAAGGUCCGCGUCUGCAAUACUGAAGUCGUGUCUAUCUAUUGGUGUUUAAGCAGAUGGUGCUCGUUCGAUUCGAGCCUGGGUCA